GAUUGGACCUAUAUCGUGCCUCAGGGAAAUUUGAACUUCUUGAUAGAAUUCUACCCAAACUCCGUGCAACAAACCAUAAAGUGCUACUCUUCUGCCAAAUGACCUCCCUCAUGACCAUCAUGGAAGACUACUUUGCAUACCGUGGCUUCAAAUACCUCAGGCUUGACGGUGAGUAGACGACAGUGUGUGUGAGGUCUUCCUUCCUGACCUGGUUAUCUGGAAUGGAGUCCGGUAUAUACACUGAAUCUGAGAACAUCCUAGCUUCCUGGAACAAGGAGGAGAACCUGGGGGAGGCCUGAACUGAAGGUGUUUAGUCUCCUGUUUGCUCAAGUCUUCACUGGAGUGC
rnacentral:lncRNA from 1 species